GUGUGGCUGAAGGGCUGGUUACUGAAGACACCCUAAAACAUGGUUAAAGGAGCCCUAAGCUUGUUUCAGUGACAGCUGGGUCUGAAAUUUUUGGAGGAAAGGAUAAAAUUGAUGAGGAACAUUGCUGCAGGAUUACAACUUCCUCCCUUCCCCUGCUUAAAGGAAGUGAGAAAUCUGAAAGAAUCUUUCCCAGGCAUAUCUCCCCAGAACUCAGAGACGUGGCUCACAUUAGGACUCCACCUGAACCUCAUUUGGAAGAAGAUGGCGAGGAAGCUGGUUGGUACCUAUUCUCUGAGGACAUAUUACGGGUGAAGUGGAAGGAGAGAUCCAUGCAACUGUGGCAAGGCCCAUGUACUCCGUGGCAAACUGAACCUAACUUCUCCCACACUCUUGCUCGGCAGGCUGAG